rnacentral:tRNA from 1 species
GACUGGAUAGCUCAGUUGGUGGAGUGUCUGGGUAUCAUCCAGUAGGCCCUGGGUUCAAUUCCCGGUCUGGUAA